rnacentral:lncRNA from 1 species
GCGUCACAACAAGCCUGAGCCUCCCGUUACGAUGACGACGACGAUUUUGCCCUCCUGAACCGUGACUACGAGAUGUCCUCAGUCAGCCACCACGAGCUGUCCUUGCUAGCCGUACGCAUGAGCAUUAAGCCAAGACCUCAGUGACGCUUGAGCCAUGCACCACCGCUGAGUUUCGGGCACUGCCAAUCACCAUCCAAUCUGUUGUGCACCAGUUCGAAUUUGGGAACAAAUCCUCCGAAUUAGGUAAUAAUCGUUAUCUGAUUCCAUUGAAUAUCUUGUUGCCUGAUUUGAUUUUUCCAUCCAUUUAGUCAAUAUCUUUAAGUGAUAGGCAUUUCCUCAAAUUAGGAUAUAUUUCCUAAUUCACAAUUGCACAUGAUUUUUAAUCAUCCGCUAAGAUUGCGAAGUAUAGUAUAGUAUAGAAAUUGAUGAAUUUAAUCACAAUUCCAACAUGAAAAGAUGAACGCCCAAUUUUCUUCACAACCAGAUUAAAAAGUCGUCAGUGUGGAAUAAUUGGGUUGGUAAAAACUUGCAUCCAUCCUUCAAUUUUUGAAAUUGACAGUGACGUACUUUUCUCAUCCCUAUAUAAUUGAAGGUCCCUCAUCUCAUGUAUAUUGUCUCCUUCCUACUACUAUUGACACCACCAAUGGUUAAGUUCUUGCUUCUCUUCAGGACAUAGUGAGGAAAUCAACGGCGAGCAAU